ACGGAUAUAUCACGUUGAAACACCGGUUCCCGUAUGAUCACUGAAGUUAAGCAACGCCGGGCCUGGUCAGUACCUAGAUGGAUGACAGAUUGAGAAUACCAAGUGCUGUAAG